rnacentral:rRNA from 1 species
CCUACGGGAGGCAGCAGUGAGGAAUAUUGGUCAAUGGACGCAAGUCUGAACCAGCCAUGCCGCGUGCAGGAAGACGGCUCUAUGAAUUGUAAACUGCUUUUGUCAGAGGAUAAACGCCGGUACGCGUAUCCGUCUGAGAGUAUCGUACGAAUAAGGAUCGGCUAACUCCGUGCCAGCAGCCGCGGUAAUACGGAGGAUUCAAGCGUUAUCCGGAUUUAUUGGGUUUAAAGGGUGCGUAGGCGGUCGGAUAAGUUAGGGGGGAAAUCCCGAGGCCCAACUUCGGAAUUGCCUCUGAUACUGGCAGGCUAGAGAGUAGGUGAGGUAGGCGGAAUGUAUGGUGUAGCGGUGAAAUGCUUAGAGAUCAUACAGAACACCGAUUGCGAAGGCAGCUUACCAGGUGCAGUCUGACGUUGAGGCACGAAAGCGUGGGGAGCAAACAGGAUUAGAUACCCUGGUAGUC